rnacentral:rRNA from 1 species
ACAACUUUCAGCGACGGAUAUCUCGGCUCAGGCACCUAUGAAGGGCGCAGCGAAGGAUUUGUGAAUUGCAGAUCUCCGUGAACCAAUGGCCCCCUGAACGCGCAUUGCACUCUUGGGACUUCCUGAGAGUAUGUUUGCUUCAGUGCUUAUUUUACC